rnacentral:rRNA from 1 species
UACGUAGGUGGCAAGCGUUGUCCGGAUUUACUGGGCGUAAAGAGCGCGCAGGCGGUCGUUCAAGUCGCGUGUGAAAGCCCCCGGCUCAACUGGGGAGGGUCACGCGAUACUGAUCGACUCGAAGGCAGGAGAGGGUAGUGGAAUUCCCGGUGUAGUGGUGAAAUGCGUAGAUAUCGGGAGGAACACCAGUGGCUAAGGCGACUACCUGGCCUGUUCUUGACGCUGAGGCGCGAAAGCUAGGGGAGCAAACGGG